CCAAAUUUGCCUGGCCAACCAGAGAAAAUAAAACAAAUAAUCCCAAAUCAAAAUGACCCAAAAAUUAGCCCAAUAACACAAACCCUAGCCCAAAUGGAAAACAAAUUUCAGCAGCAGAAAACCCUAGGGCGCCGCAUGCUAGAACCUGCUGCCACCGCCCUUGUCCCAUUGCCUCUAACUCCUCCUGCCACCUAAUCCACUGCCCUACACCUGCAAACAAUAAAAGAAAGCAAACCACAGCACAACAGGGGAUAUGAUUUUGUGUUUUUUUAUUUCGGUAUAAAAACCAAUUGUAAAUCGAUUGUAAAGAGGGGAUAUGUUCACGAUUAAAAAAAGAAAGCAAGGCUUCUGUAUCCUCAAAUUAAGAAAAUACAAAAAAAAAUAGUGAUUGAAGGUAGUGAAAAAUCUUUAUUUUUUCGUUUUUUCCUUUCUCUGUUACUUAGCUAUUUAAAUCACAUAAAAGAAAAGAAGAAAAAGGGGAAAAGGGGUUACCUUUGCCUUCAGAUCCGCUGGAAAGAGGCUAAAAGCCUAAGUGGCGCGUCUCCGACCACCAUUAGCGAUGGAGCUGUGGCAGAGGCGUGUUGAAGCGGUGGCGGCUAAAAAGGGUUUUAAAACCCUAACAGAGAAAAUGAAAGUUGAAGGCCUAUU
rnacentral:lncRNA from 1 species